GAUGAACGCUGGCGGCGUGCCUAAUACAUGCAAGUCGAGCGAACGGACGAGAAGCUUGCUUUUCUGAUGUUAGCGGCGGACGGGUGAGUAACACGUGGAUAACCUACCUAUAAGACUGGGAUAACUUCGGGAAACCGGAGCUAAUACCGGAUAAUAUUUUGAACCGCAUGGUUCAAAAGUGAAAGACGGUCUUGCUGUCACUUAUAGAUGGAUCCGCGCUGCAUUAGCUAGUUGGUAAGGUAACGGCUUACCAAGGCAACGACGCAUAGCCGACCUGAGAGGUGAUCGGCCACACUGGAACUGAGACACGGUCCAGACUCCUACGGGAGGCAGCAGUAGGGAAUCUUCCGCAAUGGGCGAAAGCCUGACGGAGCAACGCCGCGUGAGUGAUGAAGGUCUUCGGAUCGUAAAACUCUGUUAUUAGGGAAGAACAUAUGUGUAAGUAACUGUGCACAUCUUGACGGUACCUAAUCAGAAAGCCACGGCUAACUACGUG
rnacentral:rRNA from 1 species